rnacentral:rRNA from 1 species
GAUAACUACUGGAAACGGUAGCUAAUACCGCAUAACGUCGCAAGACCAAAGAGGGGGACCUUCGGGCCUCUUGCCAUCGGAUGUGCCCAGAUGGGAUUAGCUAGUAGGUGGGGUAACGGCUCACCUAGGCGACGAUCCCUAGCUGGUCUGAGAGGAUGACCAGCCACACUGGAACUGAGACACGGUCCAGACUCCUACGGGAGGCAGCAGUGGGGAAUAUUGCACAAUGGGCGCAAGCCUGAUGCAGCCAUGCCGCGUGUAUGAAGAAGGCCUUCGGGUUGUAAAGUACUUUCAGCGGGGAGGAAGGGAGUAAAGUUAAUACCUUUGCUCAUUGACGUUACCCGCAGAAGAAGCACCGGCUAACUCCGUGCCAGCAGCCGCGGUAAUACGGAGGGUGCAAGCGUAAUCGGAAU